rnacentral:rRNA from 1 species
UACGGAGGGAGCUAGCGUUGUUCGGAAUUACUGGGCGUAAAGCGCGCGUAGGCGGCUUUGUAAGUUAGAGGUGAAAGCCCGGGGCUCAACUCCGGAACUGCCUUUAAGACUGCAUCGCUUGAAUCCGGGAGAGGUGAGUGGAAUUCCGAGUGUAGAGGUGAAAUUCGUAGAUAUUCGGAAGAACACCAGUGGCGAAGGCGGCUCACUGGACCGGUAUUGACGCUGAGGCGCGAAAGCGUGGGGAGCGAACAGG